UUUUUACUCUAUUAAAUUGUUGCUUGCAUUAAGUUGAUACUGGUGAAUUUUGAUCAAGAUCUGAAAGUCUCUGGUCGUCUGUUCAAAUCUGAGAUGAUUCAAAAGAUGGGAGAAGUACAGUAGCAUGGUCGAUCACGUUUUUCUUUUCUCUUCAUCGCCCAACUCUGCCACACUUCUGCCACACUUCGGCCGACGACUACCAUCUCUACCAUCACAACCGCCGGCCGGUCUGCUCAUCCCAACAGCACCCUCAACCAAUUGGAAAAGAUUCUCUCCACCGAAUCCAUCUCAGGUGACCCUCUUCUCCGAUCAGAUCCGAGAUGAGAGGAGAAACCCAAUCGCCCCUACCAGAUCUCAUUUCAUCUUCACGUUUGUCGCCAGUGGUUUCCUUUGGAAGACUCAGAUUUGAGUCUUCUUCACACAACCACCACUGAAGUUCCCUCCCAGAUUCGGGAGCCAUCUACUCCGUUCCAUAGCCCUCUCCCGAUUUGGAGAGGAGUCACCACCGUCAUCUCAUCUUUGCCCACCCUUCCUAGCUCUAGUACAUGCCCUUACAUGUUUCGGACAGCAGAUUCAUCUCACAGCAGAUUCUUUGUUCGUUGUGUUGCUUUGUUUCAUUUGGUUGUUAGUUGAUCUCCAUAUUUGAUUCAUUGUAGUAGAUCCAAUGUUUCAUGCCUAAGAUGUCAUGUAUUAAGUUUCAAUUGUUUGACGCUAACCAAGUGUUCGAUAAAUUUCCCCAAACACUACUUGAAGUUGAUUUGAUCCGAAUACAUUGAUGUGUUGAUCGCUAGAAUGAAUUCAUGUUUGGAUGCUUGUAAUUGAUUUGGUUCCCAUGAUUAGGAUUUCAUGUAGUGAGUUUUGAUUGGAUGAUGCUUGCAAGGUGUUUGAUGGAAUGUUUUCCUUAAGUAAUUAGACUUUUGUUUGGUAAUUUCUUUAGUUAGUUGUUUGCAUUACUUGUUAAUGUUAAAUCCAUUAUGUUUGUACCCUUCCUUUGAAUGCAAUUAGGAUAGAUUAGCUUAGGUUACAUUACAUGCUCUAGGUUUGUUGCUUUGAUUUAAAUCUAUCUUGCUGCUUUUAUCGCACUAUAUUGAUUAUGUUUUGACUUGAUAGAUAGUGUAACUGGCAAUUCAAAGUGGGAAUGAUCUGCUUCUGAAAGGAGGAAAACAAGCUAGGUGUUCAAAUGUAAUUCUUCAUAAGGUAAUCACUGCAGUCAUUCCUAAUACGAUUGGUGAAAAACGUAUCAUGUUCAUGACUUCAAAAUAGUAUAUUCUAGAUUUUCUUAAGGUGAGGAUAAAAAUUUGAUGAUGAAUAUACUUUAUAAGUUGUUAACAUCUAAAUUGGUAUUCUAUGCAUCAACUUGAUGAUGUAAUAGAUAUUUUGAUUCCAAGAGAAAAUAAUAGACCUAUUUCUCAGAUAAAAAGCUCAGAUUUGUGUUUUGUCACUCCUUUUACCUCGUAGUUACAAAGCAAUGGAGAUUCAUGUCAUAUGAUUUAUUAUACUAUGUAUAUAUGGAAUUUUCCAUGUUUAUGUUGAUAAAUUUGUGAAGAUGGAAAUGGCAAGGCAUAUCAUAGUGGAGUCAAAGUUGGAUUAUCCAACUACCUGUAAUGCAAUGGAAACACUUCUCAUUCACGAGGAUUUAUUAAGCAACGAUGAUUUCCAGGAGCUUGUUCUGGAACUUAAACACGAAGGUACUUUGUUUCUCCACCGGACUAUCCUAUUAAACCAAAAUCAUUUUAUGUGAUUGAAGGAUUAUUAUAUGUAUAUUUUAUACAGUACUGAUGAAAUGAGUUGGAGAAUUGAUGUUGUGAUGGAUUAUUAUAUGUAUAUUUUUUUCGCUUACAUUGUAUAUUUUACAUUCA